rnacentral:rRNA from 1 species
GUAGGGAAUAUUGGGCAAUGGUCGGAAGACUGACCCAGCCAUGCCGCGUGCAGGAAGACGGCCCUCUGGGUUGUAAACUGCUUUUAUCUGGGAAGAAAAAGGCCAUGCGUGGCAAAUUGCCGGUACCAGAUGAAUAAGCACCGGCUAACUCCGUGCCAGCAGCCGCGGUAAUACGGGGGGUGCGAGCGUUGUCCGGAUUUAUUGGGUUGAAAGGGUGCGUAGGCGGCUGAUUAAGUCAGCGGUGAAAGACUUCGGCUUAACCGGAGCAGUGCCGUUGAUACUGGUUGGCUUGAGUGUCGGAGGGGUACAUGGAAUUGAUGGUGUAGCGGUGAAAUGCAUAGAUACCAUCAGGAACACCGAUAGCGAAGGCAUUGUACUGGCCGACAACUGACGCUGAUGCACGAAAGUGUGGGGAUCGAACAGGAUUAGAAACCCUGGUAGUCC